UACAGAGGAGCCAAGCGUUGUCCGGAUUGACUGGGCGUAAAGCGCACGCAGGCGGGUGCGCGCGUGGGGUGUGAAAUCUGGCCGCUUAACGGCCAGGCGCCAUCCCAUACGGCGCGCCUGGAGGGCUGCAGAGGUCGAUGGAAUUGCCGGUGUAGUGGUGAAAUGCGUAGAGAUCGGCAGGAACACCCAGGGGGAAACCAG
rnacentral:rRNA from 1 species